CUUUCUCAGUCGCACUCCAAUCAUAGAGUAGAUUGUAACAGGCGUUCGCACAGUUCCUACAAAUCAGUUCUCAUUUAAAAUUAGAAAAUGGUCGUGGAAAAAUACAACAAGCUCGAAUCCGAGCUGAAAGAGGAAUUACGCACGAUUGCUCAACAAAUGGUGGCACCCGGUAGAGGUAUUCUGGCCGCUGAUGAGUCAACUACAACGAUCGGUAAACAGUUUCAAGAUGUCAAUGUCGAAAAUACUGAGGAAAACCGUAGGGCUUACAGGCAACUACUCUUUACUACUGCAAAAGAUGUCGGACAGCACAUUUCUGGAGUGAUCCUCUUCCACGAGACUCUUUAUCAAAAGGCCGACGACGGUACGCCUUUCGUCGAGCUGCUGAAGCAACGCAACAUUAUUCCUGGUAUUAAAGUUGACAAGGACCUUGUUCCGCUCUUCGCCACAAAUGACGAAUGCACGACCCAGGGUCUCGACGAUCUCCAAGCGCGUUGUAUCCAGUAUAAAAAAGAUGGAUGCUAUUUUGCCAAGUGGCGAUGCGUGUUUAAAAUUACGAAAGACACCCCGAGCAAACUCGCCAUCAUGGAGAACGCCAAUGUGCUAGCCCGUUACGCUUCCAUCUGUCAGAGUGCUAGAAUUGUGCCGAUCGUAGAGCCAGACGUCCUUCGCGCCGGUGAUCACGAUCUCGCCCGUUGUCAACAGGUUACGGAAGAGGUUCUUGCAGCCGUUUACAAGGCACUUUCAGAUCACCAUGUAUACCUCGAAGGAACGCUGUUAAAGACUAACAUGGUGACGCCAGGCCAGAGCUGUUCGAAAAGAGCGACUCCCCAGGAAAUCGCUGCUGCUACAGUGACAGCUAUGUCACGUACCGUGCCAUCAGCAGUACCUGGCAUCACUUUUCUCAGCGGUGGCCAAUCCGAGGAAGAGGCAACAGUCAACCUAGAUGCGAUUAACAAGUACCCGGCGAAAAAACCUUGGGCAUUAACUUUCUGUUAUGGACGCGCUCUUCAGACCUCCGUACUUCGUGCUUGGCAAGGCAAGGCCAACAAGGUCGCUGCUGGUCAAGAAGAGUUGCUUAAGAGAGCCAAGGCAAACACCGCAGCCUGCCAAGGUAAAUACGUCGCUAGCAAGCAUUUUUAGCAAAGCCGCUGACACUUCUCUCUACGUCAAAUCUCACGCCUACUAAAAAAAUCUUGCACCUUCGGCACAAUCCGUUUCUCGUGGCAGCUAACAGCGAGUCGGCACUUGACAAAUAUGAGGGUGGCGUAACUGGUGCGUAACAUGCUGCGAGAGACGCGGCUCUUUUCAUCGCUAAUCACGCGUAUUAGAUUGAUCCAUAAAGAUAUACUAUUAGAAACAUAAAAUGAAACAGCUAUUGGAAACACCUCGCAAAAUCGUCACCAUCGUCUUUUUCGUUGAAAUCAUAAAAGGAAAAAAGAUUUCUCUGAAGAUGAUCAAGAUAUAACAAGAAACAUCCCAAGUUCCAAGUAAAUUGAUCUCGUUCUUGUUUUGUUUAAUAUAUGUGUAUAUGUAUAUAUAUUUUUUUAAGUAAUUAUUAUUUCUUAUAGAUCUAAUUGCAUGAUUUUUAAUUAAAUUUUAAUCGAUCAAAUCUUUACGUAAAUUUCUGUCAAUCAAAUAUAAUUUUAAAUAAUUCCACAUUACAUGUAAUUCGAUUUGCAACUCAACUCGACAGUUUAUAGAUUGCACGUCAAAUAUGUUGAUUAAAAUUUUACCAAAACAUCUCAUAAAUUUUCCCAUUGAGCAGUCAAUUCAAUGGAUGCUUUCGUAACAAAUGUACAAAAAAUAUCAAAUUUAGAAUUUUUUAGCCUGAUCUAUUUGUUUUCAAUUUUUCGAUCUCGCCGCUGUUCCGAUUUAUUCAGCGACUAACUUGACGAGAUUCAAUUUUAUUGAUAUUAAAUAAUUAAGAAUGAAGACCAAAGCGUCAAGAGAACACGAAUAGAUUUUGUGAAAUUCGAUAUUAUUAUACGUAUAUUAUUACUAUCUGUAACAGUAUGAAACAGAAACAGCAGAUGUAUUAUAUCUGUACUCAUGAUUAAUGUCUCGAAUCAUAACUUCGCGUAUAAAAUGAACGCGCAGAAAAUAUAUAUGCAAAAUAAAACAAUUGUUAAAUGUUUAUUAGUGAUUGUAUCGAUCGAGUAUUACAAAAUCAUGCUAUUCGGUGUGUCAUCUAUACUUAUUAUAUGUAUAUAUCAUCUUGCAUAGAAACCUAAUCUAUUAAGAAUUAUCUCGUAUGUCGAUAUUAUAUUUAAAAAUAGUUUUGUUGUAAUCAAGGUUACCAAAUACAACUGUGAAGGAUAAAAAAA
rnacentral:misc_RNA from 1 species